UACGAAGGGGGGCUAGCGUUGCUCGGAAUCACUGGGCGUAAAGCGCACGUAGGCGGAUUGUUAAGUCGGGGGUGAAAUCCUGGAGCUCAACUCCAGAACUGCCUUCGAUACUGACGAUCUCGAGUCCGGGAGAGGUGAGUGGAACUCCGAGUGUAGAGGUGAAAUUCGUAGAUAUUCGCAAGAACACCAGUGGCGAAGGCGGCUCACUGGCCCGGUACUGACGCUGAGGUGCGAAAGCGUGGGGAGCAAACAGG
rnacentral:rRNA from 1 species